GCUGGGUGUGGUGGCGCACGCCUGUAAUCCCAGCUACUCGGGAGGCUGAGGCAGGAGAAUUGCUUGAACCAGGGAGGUGGAGGUUGCAGUGAUCCGAGAUCAUGCCAUUACACCCCAGCUUGGGCAACAAGAGUGAAAGUCUGUCUCAAAAAAAAAAAAAAAAAAAAAAGAAUUUUACAGGGAGGAGGAGGUUGCAGUGAGCCAAGAUCGAGCCACUGCACUCCCGCCUGGUGACAGAGCAAGACUCCGUCUCA
rnacentral:sRNA from 10 species